rnacentral:tRNA from 1 species
GAGAUUGAGCGUAAGAGCGUUAUGAUUUCGACUUGUAAAAGGUCAUAGAUAGA